UUUUCUAGAGUCUUCCUAACUCUUCUUCAGUUCUGCUUCUUUGAACUAGCUGGAGAGAUUUCAGAGGCAACUUCAGUCAUGAAGUUUCUUUUCCUAACCUUUGCAUUGCUUCUUCUCUUCUAUGUUUCUUCAGGACAACCUGAUGCUUGUGUGAAGAAUGGUGGCUUCUGCCAGAUUGGCCUCCAUAAAAAAUGCGUGCAUGGAAGUCUCCCAUAUAACUGUGGCAUUAAUGCCAAGUGCUGCGAGGGUUUGCUGUGAAGCCACCAACGACAAGCACUUGUGAAACUCUGGGAGGUUAUUGCCAGAAGCUUGCCUCUGUAGUGUGACAUGAACAUUGUCUCUCUAGUGUGGAAUAUUCAGCAAUUGUGAUAUUAAUGGAGGAUGUUGCAAACUGUUAUGUAACAGCAAGCAGUGAAACAACAUUGUAAUUAAACAAUUUAAUGAAUUUGGAU